rnacentral:rRNA from 1 species
AUUGAACGCUGGCGGCAGGCCUAACACAUGCAAGUCGAGCGGAGCGGCGGACGGGUGAGUAAUGCCUAGGAAGCUGCCUGGUAGUGGGGGAUAAAGUCAGGCAACGGGCGCUAAUACAGCAUACUAUCAGAUGAGCCUAGGUCGGAUUAGCGAGUUGGUGGGGUAAAGGCCUACAAGGGCGACGAUCUGUAACUGGUCUGAGAGGAGGAUAAGGCAGACUGGAACUGAUGGACGUUCCAGACUCCUACGGUAGGCAGGAGUGGGAAAUGUUGGACAUAGGGCGAAAGCGUGAACCAGCCAUGCCGGUGGUGUGACGAGGGUUUUCGGAGUUUAAAGCUCGUUAAGUUGGGAGGCGUUACCAACGGGAUGAGCACCGGCUAACUUCGGUCCAGCAGCCGCGGUAAUAC